UACAGAGGGGGCUAGCGUUAUUCGGAAUUAUUGGGCGUAAAGGGCUCGUAGGCGGCCAACUAGGUCAGACGUGAAAUCCCUCGGCUUAACCGGGGAACUGCGUCUGAUACUGGAUGGCUUGAGUUCGGGAGAGGGAUGCGGAAUUCCAGGUGUAGCGGUGAAAUGCGUAGAUAUCUGGAGGAACACCGGUGGCAAAGGCGGCAUCCUGGACCGAUACUGACGCUGAGGAGCGAAAGCCAGGGGAGCAAACGGG
rnacentral:rRNA from 1 species